rnacentral:misc_RNA from 1 species
AUACCCGUGCUGUUAUGCUUCCCUCGGCCUUCAUCGCUGGCGACUGCUCUUUCUCUCUCUUGCUAACGAACGCCACGGGCAUCAGUGAGCAUGGACACAGGGUAACCCCCCUCCACACACACACACACACACACACACAGGUAGCGAGGCGCUCCGGGCUGUGCGUCUUUGCACGCCCUUCUCCUUUCCUCAUCUAGAGUAGACGGAGGUGCUCCGUUGUGCCUUUCUGAUCUCGUUCCCACAUAUAUAUGCAUAUAUAUAUAUAUAUAUAUAUAUACUUUGACUUCUUCGGUGUGCGCGAGUGGGACGGAAGCGUGCCGGUACACGAAACUCCCUCAUCUGCAUACCACUGGCCGCUGCGGUUGCACACCUUCCUCUCGCCCCACAGCGUGCGUGACGGUGUGUCAGGCCUGGGCGCUGCUGCACAUGCUGCUGUUGUCUGCGAGCCGCUUUUCUUAUGGUGUGGUGCUGGUGUCCUCCACAGGCUAGAUUUUGGUGGACUGGUAUCCCUGCCUGCCUGUGUGUGCGUAUCUGCGUUUGGCUGCACUUUCGCGCCAUUCCACACGUCUCCGUUCCUCCUCCACCUCCUCGCUCUAG